UACGAAGGGGGCUAGCGUUGUUCGGAAUUACUGGGCGUAAAGGGCUCGUAGGCGGCCAACUAAGUCAGACGUGAAAUCCCUCGGCUUAACCGGGGAACUGCGUCUGAUACUGGAUGGCUUGAGUGUGGGAGAGGGAUGCGGAAUUCCAGGUGUAGCGGUGAAAUGCGUAGAUAUCUGGAGGAACACCGGUGGCGAAGGCGGCAUCCUGGACCAUUACUGACGCUGAGUGAGCGAAAGCCAGGGGAGCAAACGGG
rnacentral:rRNA from 1 species